UUAUGCAUGGUUUCUAUUUUUCUUUUUUUAGAAGAACACAAUAUAUGAUUGGCCAUGCUUUCUAUUUACAGCUAAAGAUCAGCAAAAUAAGGCUACAAAUAGUUGGUCAAUGGACCAAAGAAAUAAAGUUGGAGUAGAUGGACCAUUAAGAUUGUCAGACAUUAAGCUGGUGUUCCAUGCACAACAGUUCCUUUCGAAGAAAGAAAAUUGAAGCUUUUUCUUUCCAUGUUUCUUUGUUCAGUUUUUUUUAUACGUUUGGAGCUUCGUAAAGUUGGCACAAGUGCUGGCUGAUUGUUGCUGGAGCUAUUUGAAUGUUGCCCAAUCUUCAUUGCUUACUUCUAAUGUUGUAACUAUUUCCAUUGAAUUUUGAUUUUUUUUUUUCUUCCUAAUGCUUGUAGGAAAAUAUCAAUUGUCUACUCGGUACAUAGAGAUAGGUAAUUUCUUCUUCUACACUUUCUUUUUGUUCAAAAUAUUUGGGUAAAAGUUUCCUGACUUUGACAUGUAAUUUACCUACUAUCCUUUUAUCCUAGCUACCAUCUUCCUCUUGC